GACGAACGCUGGCGGCGUGCUUAACACAUGCAAGUCGAACGGAAAGGCCCUGCUUUUGCGGGGUGCUCGAGUGGCGAACGGGUGAGUAACACGUGAGUAACCUGCCCUUGACUUUGGGAUAACUUCAGGAAACUGGGGCUAAUACCGGAUAGGAGCUCCUGCUGCAUAGUGGGGGUUGGUAAGUUUCGGCGGUUGUGGAUGGACUCGCGGCUUAUGAGCUUGUUGGUCGGGUAGUGGCUUUCGAAGGCUUUGACGGGUAGCCGGCCUGAGAGGGUGACCGGCGACAAGGGUCCUGAGGUAGGGCCCAGACGCGUACGGGAGGCAGCAGUGGGGAAUAUUGCGCAGUAGGCGGAAGUCUGAUGCGGCGAUGCCGCGUGCGGGAUGACGGCCUAUGGGGUGUGAACCGCUUUCGCAGGUGACGAGGCGGGAGUGACGGUAAUGGGUAAGGAAGCACCGGCUAACUACGUG
rnacentral:rRNA from 1 species